GAUGAACGCUAGCUACAGGCUUAACACAUGCAAGUCGAGGGGAAACGGCAUUGAGUGCUUGCACUCUUUGGACGUCGACCGGCGCACGGGUGAGUAACGCGUAUCCAACCUUCCCAUUACUGUGGGAUAACCUGCCGAAAGGCAGACUAAUACCGCAUAGUCUUCGAUGACGGCAUCAGAUUUGAAGUAAAGAUUUAUCGGUAAUGGAUGGGGAUGCGUCUGAUUAGCUUGUUGGCGGGGUAACGGCCCACCAAGGCUACGAUCAGUAGGGGUUCUGAGAGGAAGGUCCCCCACAUUGGAACUGCGACACGGUCCAAACUCCUACGGGAGGCAGCAGUGAGGAAUAUUGGUCAAUGGACGGAAGUCUGAACCAGCCAAGUAGCGUGCAGGAUGACGGCCCUAUGGGUUGUAAACUGCUUUUGUAUGGGGAUAAAGUUAGGGACGUGUCCCUAUUUGCAGGUACCAUACGAAUAAGGACCGGCUAAUUCCGUG
rnacentral:rRNA from 1 species